AUUUUUGAACAUGUGUUUAUUAGCAGUCUGCAGUCUAGUCAGUUUAGAUUGGAAGCUUGAAGUCUUGAACAGUAUUAAUCUGAUUUAAUCGAGGAAAACAGAAUGAAGAGACUAGAUGUUCUUCAAAUCUUGGCAGAAAGGAAUGAAAGAAGAAAACGCGAACUGGAGCUCAAUGGUUUACCGUCAGAAAGCAAAUAAUUCUUUGCCCAUAACCCCAAAUUUUUCAAGGCAGACUCCAUCCUCGUUGAAUCAUCAUCCCAGAG